UACGGAGGAUGCGAGCGUUAUCCGGAUUUAUUGGGUUUAAAGGGUGCGUAGGCGGACGCUUAAGUCAGCGGUAAAAUUGCGGGGCUCAACCUCGUCGAGCCGUUGAAACUGGGUGUCUUGAGUGGGCGAGAAGUACGCGGAAUGCGUGGUGUAGCGGUGAAAUGCAUAGAUAUCACACAGAACUCCGAUUGCGAAGGCAGCGUACCGGCGCCCAACUGACGCUGAAGCACGAAGGCGUGGGUAUCGAACAGG
rnacentral:rRNA from 1 species